GCCAACUCACUCAGCAUUCAGCGGGUGCUUUUUCUGUCAGCCAGUGAGCAUUUCAGGGUGCUAUGGCCACUUUGACCUCUCUAGGGUGAUGCAACUGCCUGGAGACACAGGU
ensembl:snoRNA